CCAGCCCGCUCAGAACUUAAAGGAAGUUGACGGGGCCGCACAAGCGGUGGAGCAUGUGGUUAAUUCGACGAUACGCGAAGACCUUACCCGGGUUUGACAGUUGUAUCGAAGCAUCCAGAGAUGGAUGUGUCUCUUCGGAGACGGUAUGACAGGUGCUGCAUGGCUGUCGUCAGCCCGUGCCGUGAGGUGUUGGGUUAAGUCCCGCAACGAGCGCAACCCCUAUCUUUAGUUGCCAUCAGUUCGGCUGGGCACUCUAUGGAGACUGCCACCUAAAGUGGAGGAAGGUGGGGAUGACGUCAAGUCAGCAUGGCCCUUACGUCCGGGGCUACACACGUGCUACAAUGGCCGGUACAAAGGGUUGCGAAGCCGUGAGGUGGAGCGAAUCUCAAAAAGCCGGCCUCAGUUCGGAUUGGAGGCUGCAACUCGCCUCCAUGAAGUCGGAAUCGCUAGUAACCGCAGAUCAGCUACGUUGCGGUGAAUACGUUCCCGGGCCUU
rnacentral:rRNA from 1 species